GCACAAGCGGUGGAUGAUGUGGUUAAUUCGAUGCAACGCGAAAACCUUACCUACCCUUGACAUGUCCGGAAUCCCGAAGAGAUUUGGGAGUGCUCGCAAGAGAGCCGGAACACAGGUGCUGCAUGGCUGUCGUCAGCCCGUGUCGUGAGAUGUUGGGUUAAGUCCCGCAACGAGCGCAACCCUUGUCAUUAGUUGCCAUCAUUUGGUUGGGCACUCUAAUGAGACUGCCGGUGACAAACCGGAGGAAGGUGGGGAUGACGUCAAGUCCUCAUGGCCCUUAUGGGUAGGGCUUCACACGUCAUACAAUGGUCGGUACAGAGGGUUGCCAACCCGCGAGGGGGAGCUAAUCCCACAAAGCCGAUCGUAGUCCGGAUCGCAGUCUGCAACUCGACUGCGUGAAGUCGGAAUCGCUAGUAAUCGUGGAUCAGCAUGUCACGGUGAAUACGUUCCCGGGUCUU
rnacentral:rRNA from 1 species